GGUUUGAUCGUGGCUCAGGACGAACGCUGGCGGCGUGCCUAACACAUGCAAGUCGAACGAAGCUUUGAGGAGCUUGCUUUUUAAAGCUUAGUGGCGGACGGGUGAGUAACGCGUGAGCAACCUGCCUCUCAGAGGGGAAUAACGUUUUGAAAAGAACGCUAAUACCGCAUAACAUAUCGGAACCGCAUGAUUCUGAUAUCAAAGGAGCAAUCCGCUGAGAGAUGGGCUCGCGUCCGAUUAGUUAGUUGGUGAGGUAACGGCUCACCAAGACUACGAUCGGUAGCCGGACUGAGAGGUUGAUCGGCCACAUUGGGACUGAGACACGGCCCAGACUCCUACGGGAGGCAGCAGUGGGGGAUAUUGCGCAAUGGGGGAAACCCUGACGCAGCAACGCCGCGUGAAGGAAGAAGGUCUUCGGAUUGUAAACUUC
rnacentral:rRNA from 1 species